CGAGUGAACGGAGAUUAGCCCAGCACCGAAGCCUAUCCGCAUUUGUGGACAGGGCAAUGUGGUGUUCAGACACGCGCCUUUGCGCCGCUCGUCUACUCGAAGUCCAACUGCGAUUAUGGCAUUGGAUUUGUCCCAUAGAGGGUGAGAGGCCCUUCCGGGUAGACAUUGGUACGUUUGAGCGGUGCUUUGAUGCGUGUGUCUUGGAGUCGGAUUGCUUGAGAAUGCAGUCCAAAGCGGGUGGUAAACUCCAUCCAAGGCUAAAUACUGGCACGAGUCCGAUAGUAAACAAGUACCGUGAGGGAAAGUUGAAAAGUACUCUGAAGAGAGAGUAAAUAGUACGUGAAGCCGCCUGUAGAGAAGCUGGUGGAGUCAAGCUCCAUGCCCGAAUGAUUAAUGGUGAGAGUGUUGUGUUGUAUUUAGCACUGCUAGUCGGUUGAUCUGGAAAUGUUUUGACGGGCCUCAACCCGUUACGAGCGUUCCGGUGAGUGUGCUUGUGCCGGCUGAACAGUGUUCACUCUUGCGUUCUAUCAUCGGGCAGCCAUCACGAUUGAUAUGCCUCUGGUGCGUGACAGUCAAACCGUGCCCAUGUGAGUCUCUGACUUGCUGGGUAUGGGACGGCAGGUGGUGUCACAGUUCGGCUUGCUCGGACUGUUGACAUGUUAGUUGGUUACUACCAGCCGAUUGUCAUGCUUCUGCUCUUUACCAUGGGUGCGUAUCAUUUCACUGGCUGCGGUGUCCCUAUCAAUUGGUAGCCGUAUGCGA
rnacentral:rRNA from 1 species